AGUGAACGCUGGCGGUAGGCCUAACACAUGCAAGUCGAACGGCAGCACAGAGGAGCUUGCUCUCUGGGUGGCGAGUGGCGGACGGGUGAGGAAUACAUCGGAAUCUACUCUGUCGUGGGGGAUAACGUAGGGAAACUUACGCUAAUACCGCAUACGACCUACGGGUGAAAGCAGGGGACCUUCGGGCCUUGCGCGAUUGAAUGAGCCGAUGUCGGAUUAGCUAGUUGGCGGGGUAAAGGCCCACCAAGGCGACGAUCCGUAGCUGGUCUGAGAGGAUGAUCAGCCACACUGGAACUGAGACACGGUCCAGACUCCUACGGGAGGCAGCAGUGGGGAAUAUUGGACAAUGGGCGCAAGCCUGAUCCAGCCAUACCGCGUGGGUGAAGAAGGCCUUCGGGUUGUAAAGCCCUUUUGUUGGGAAAGAAAUCCAGCUGGCUAAUACCCGGUUGGGAUGACGGUACCCAAAGAAUAAGCACCGGCUAACUUCGUGCCAGCCGCCGCGGUAA
rnacentral:rRNA from 1 species